CAAAAGCAUAUACUUUCGUAUAAUCUCAAGAAUCGGCUUGAGAGUCUCUACUAGAUCACCGUAAAUGAUCAGGCUACGAGGGGUGAA
rnacentral:ncRNA from 1 species